UGCGGUUAUACAAAAAUUAAAUUAAAUUUUUUUAGGAUUUAAUAAAUAAAUAUAUAAAUUAAUAAUUUAAAUUUUAAAUUAUAAAGUGAAAUUUUAAUUUAAUUAAAAUUUAUUUAUUUUUAUGAUAUUAAUAGAUUUUGUAAAAAACUAGGAUUAGAUACCCUACUAUAAAAAUUUAAAUUUAAUAAUCUUGAAAUAGUAUAUAAUUUUUUAUAGAAACUUAAAUAAUUUGGCGGUAUUUUAGUUCAUUUAGAGGAAUCUGUCUAAUAAUUGAUAAUCCACGAUUAAAUUUACUUAAUUUUUAAUUUUGUAUAUCGUUGUUAAAAAAAUAUUUUUAAAUAAAUAUAAUAUUUUAAAAUUUAUAUAAAAAAUUAAAUCAGAUCAAGAUGCAGAUUAUAAUUAAGAAUAUGAUGGAUUACAAUAAAUUUUAUUUUUGAAUAUUAAUUUGUAAAAAUUAAUUGAAAUUGGAUUUAAAUGUAAUUUUAUUUAUUUAAUUAAAAUGAUUUUAAAUUAAAAUAUGUACAUAUUGCCCGUCGCUUUCAUUAAUAAAUUGAAAUAAGUCGUAACAAAGUAGAGGUACUGGAAAGUGUUUCUAGAAAGAU
rnacentral:rRNA from 1 species